GUCCGUAAGAAUGAGAUUUAAGGUCAGACCUGCCCACUGAUGGGAUUGAAGGGCCGCAGUAAUAUAACUGUGUAAAGGUAGCAUAAUCAAUAGUCUUUUAAUAGAAGGCUGGAAUGAAGGGUCAGACAAAAAAUAAUCUGUCUUUUUUACAUAAGUUGAAUUUUACUUUUAAGUGAAAAGGCUUAAAUGGGUUUAGGGGACGAUAAGACCCUUUGAAGCUUUAUUAGGUAUAAAUUGCAUAAUAAAUUAGGAUAAGUAUUAGUGGUUUAUACCUUUUUUGAUUGGGGAGAUAUAGAUAAAAAUAAUGAUUAACUGUCUGAAAAUUAGAAUAGUUAUAAUUAGAAGAAUGAGCCUUUAUUAGGGACUAAAAGAAGAAGUUACUUAAGGGAUAACAGCGUAAUUUUCUUUGAAGAGUUCCUAUCGAUGAGGGUAGUUGCGACCUCGAUGUUGAAUUAAGAUUGAAAUUAAGGAGCAGUAUUUUUAGUGUAAAGUCUGUUCGACUUUUAAAAUCUU
rnacentral:rRNA from 1 species